CAGAGCGUAGUUCAAACAGUAGAACAGUUCCCUUACACUGAGAAAGCACCCGUGCAAAUCGAGUCGCCCUGA
rnacentral:tRNA from 2 species